rnacentral:rRNA from 1 species
AGAGCGAACGCUGGCGGCAGGCCUAACACAUGCAAGUCGAGCGCCCGUAGCAAUACGGGAGCGGCAGACGGGAUAGUAACACGUGGGAACGCGCCCUUCGGUUCGGAAUAACUCAGGGAAACUUGAGCUAAUACCGGAUACGCCCUUACGGGGAAAGAUUUAUUGCCGAAGGAACGGCCCGCGUCCGAUUAGCUAGUUGGUGAGGUAAUGGCUCACCAAGGCGACGAUCGGUAGCUGGUCUGAGAGGAUGACCAGCAUCACUGGGACUGAGACACGGCCCAGACUCCUACGGGAGGCAGCAGUGGGGAAUAUUGGACAAUGGGCGCAAGCCUGAUCCAGCCAUGCCGCGUGGAUGAUGAAGGCCUUAGGGUUGUAAAGUCCUUUUAACGGGGAAGAUAAUGACGGUACCCGUAGAAUAAGCCCCGGAUACUCGUGCCAGCAGCCGC